CAUCGUAAUUAGAUCUCGUGUGU
rnacentral:siRNA from 1 species